ACCUGACAUUUCAAUCCUGUUUCUGCCCUUUCCUCGGUGAGUGAACUUGAGCCUAAAUUUCCUAAUCUGUAAAGUUCAGGUAACACCACCUACCGUCCCGGACUACGGCAAGGAUUAAAUGCGACGAUGUACACAAAAUACUUACUGGGACCUAGACACCAGUUGCUGCAAAUUGCCUUCCUCACUUUGCUAAGGAAAAGACCCUUGGGUCUGAGGUUUGGAGCCAGCCUAGAGGGCAAAGCUUGGUGUUGGCCUGAGCCCCGAGGAUUCCCCUCUGCCUGAGUCUCCCGAGUGACCAGUACAAGUUCCAGAUGACAGAAGAAAUACUAAUCAGCUUCCUGGAUCCCAGCCUGGACAGGAUCAGAAGUCCACAGGACAGCCGUGGCAGCCACAGUGCCCGGAGCCGGGCUGGGCUCUCCUCCCUAGCUCUGGCCCAGCCUUCCCUGUCCCCAGUCAACUGGCCCAGAAACCAAUUAGUUGCCCUCCAUUGGCUUACUUGGCCCGGGAUAGGCAAUCGUUUUGCACCUCUCUCAGAAGCAAAAUACA